GUGGGCGUCUUUCAAAUUUUCUCAAACGUGGAUCUUUUCCCAAAUGAAUACAAAAAUAUAAGGGUCGAUUUGCUAUUACAAUAAAUUCUAAAUUCUCUCCGGUGCUCAUUUUGAAACCUCCCUCUUUCGUUGCAAGGAAAGAAAAAAUACCCGGUUCAGUUUCCGACGGAUAUCCGUUUCCGACUUCUGAAUCUGAGUUUCUCAGAUUCUUUUAGUCCUCGCGAAGCCCGAUGCUACUCGCUUUUGCACCUCUGUACCAGGAGAGCUCAAUUAGGGAACUAAAGACAAAGACGACGGAGAAAUUCUGAACUCGAGAGAUUAUCCAUGAUCAUGUGAUGCACUAAUUCGUACUAUUCAAUUGCUGGAUUUCUGAAAUUAGCAAACCUUCAAAUGUUAGAAUUUGUGGAAAGUAUGUUAAAUUUGUAAUUGUGUUAUGGUGUGGACUUCCUUCACAUGAAUAGAACUUGAAAAAAAUGGACCACAUGUAGGUGUUGAUGGACCUCAUAGUUUUUGGAUGACAUGGAUGUUGAAGAUAUCGAAAUAGAUCUUUUAACAAGAAGUGGUAAUGUGGAUGUGUUUUGUGAGGCAAGUACUAGUGGGAACGUUUCUCGCAGUUUAGAGCAUUUUGCAACUGUUAGUGAGCUCAGAAAUGGUAUGGAGUUUGAGUCAAAGGAAGCUGCCUACUAUUUCUACCGAGAAUAUGCUCGAUCAGUGGGAUUUGGGAUCACAAUCAAAGCCAGCCGUCGUUCUAAAAGAUCGGGGAAGUUUAUUGAUGUCAAAAUAGCGUGUUCAAGAUUUGGAACCAAGCGCGAGAAAAGCGCAGUUAUAAACCCACGUUCAUGUCCAAAGACGGGUUGCAAAGCUGGUUUGCAUAUGAAGAGGAAGGAAGACGAGAAAUGGGUUAUAUAUAAUUUCGUAAAAGAACAUAACCAUGAGAUAUGUCCUGAUGAUUUUUAUGUUAGCAUAAGGGGAAAGAACAAGCCUGUUGGUGUGCUAGCAAAUCAAAAGAAAGGUCUUCAAUUGGCUUUAGAAGAGGAAGACUUAAAGUUAUUGCUCGAGCAUUUUAUGGACAUGCAGGAUAAGCAGCCUGGUUUUUUCUAUGCAGUUGAUUUCGACAGUGACAAACAUGUUAGAAAUGUCUUUUGGCUUGAUGCGAAGGCUAAGCAUGACUAUUGCAGCUUUUCUGAUGUUGUUCUGUUCGACACAUUUUAUGUUAGGAACGGAUUCAGAAUCCCAUUUGCUCCUUUUAUUGGGGUCAGUCAUCACCGACAUUACGUGCUCCUUGGAUGUGCUUUGAUUGGAGAAGAGAGUGAGUCAACAUAUUCUUGGCUAUUUAGAACGUGGCUUAAAGUAGUCGGUGGUCAAGGUCCUGGAGUGAUGAUAACAAAUCAGGAUAAGCUUCUAGGUGACAUUGUUGUUGAAGCCUUUCCAGAUGCUCGUCAUAUUUUUUGUUUGUGGAGUGUGCUGAGUAAAAUUCCUGAGAUGCUGAAUCCAUUUGUGAGUCAAGAUGAUGGUUUUAUGGAAAGUUUCAAAAAUUGCGUACAUAGCUCUUGGACAGAUGAACAAUUUGAAAGGAGGUGGUCAAAUAUGACUAGUAAAUUUGAACUUCACGAGAAUGAGUGGGUUCAGUUGUUGUUUAGAGAUCGUAAAAAAUGGGUUCCACAUUAUUUUCAUGGAAUUUGUUUAGCUGGACUGUCUGGACCUGAAAGGUCUAGCAGUAUCGCCUCUCAUUUCGACAAGUAUAUGAACUCAGAGGCUACGUUUAAGGACUUCUUUGAACUUUACAUGAAGUUUUUGCAGUAUCGAUGUGAUGUGGAAGCGAAAGAUGACCUUGAAUCUCAGAGAAAACAGCCUACACUGAGGUCUUCUUUGGCUUUCGAGAAACAACUUUCCUUGAUCUACACAGACGCGGCUUUUAAGAAGUUCCAAGCUGAGGUACCGGGGGUUGUUUCUUGUCAACUUCAAAAAGAAAGAGAAGAUGGGACAACCGCAAUAUUCCGCAUUGAAGAUUUUGAGGAACGGCAAAAUUUCUUCAUUGUUUUGAACAAAGAGUUGUUGGAUGCGUGUUGCUCUUGUCAUUUAUUUGAGUACCAGGGAUUCCUAUGCAAACAUGCGAUACUCGUACUUCAAAGCUCUGAUGUUUCCUGCAUUCCAUCUCAGUAUAUAUUGAAGCGCUGGUCAAAGAAAGGUAACAACAAAGAAGACAAAAACGAUACAUGUGCCACUAUACAUAUCCGAAUGGCACGUUUUGAUUAUCUAUGUAGGCGCUUUGUCAAGCUGGGAGUAGUUGCAUCUUUAUCAGAUGAAUCCUACAAGACUGCUUUAAAGUUGUUGCGGGAAACCAGGAAGCAUUGUGCUAGUAUGGAUAAUUCUCCCAAGUUUCCUUCAGAGCCAGACAAGUUAAUGACAGGUGGAUCUAUUGGCUUAGAAAACGAAGGUGUGUUGGACUGUGCAUCAAAAUUGUCCAAGAAAAAGAAAAUUCAGAAGAAAAGAAAGGUAUACUGUCGGGCAGAGGAUGCAACAAACAGGUCAGAAGAACUUCGCCAAGAAACCGAACAAGUUAGCUCCAGAGCUCCUACGUUUGAGAAUUGUUACAUUCCUCAAGCAAAUAUGGAAGAGCCCGAACUAGGCUCCCGUGCAACAACUCUUGGGGUCUAUUAUUCAACACAACAAACUAUUCAAGGAUUCUCAUCGGUUUCUUCCAUCCAGGAUGGUUACUACGGACAUCCGCCAACUAUACAAGCCAUGGGAAACAUGCAUUUAAUUCAUGGACGAAUGAGUCAAUAUGAGACACAACCAAGGAUGCAAGGAGCUUUUCAGGGACAGGCGGGGUUCAGGGGAAGCGCUAUCCGUGGCAGCUGUGACAUCGAAGAAACUAUGCACGGCAUGACAAUGGAGUCCUCACAGUUUCAGGGAUCUGGCCCAAGCCAUCCGAGUGAUCACCGCUUAUCUAAUUAACAGAUCAAGCUCAAGAGUUGCUAUAUUUGUUUUUCAUUUCAUUAAAAUAAUGGAAUGUUUUUAUGUACAGAAAUAUGAAAGGUCUAAAGUGUAGAAUUGGCUUUGAGACUUGUAGUUAUAGACAACCUUCGUUAACCUUGAGGGCCAUUGAGAGACAACCUUGGACUUGGUCACUGUGCCACGCCGAAGAGCGUAAUAAUAUACACUAUCGACUGAUUGGUUAAUCUGGAAACAAAUAUUAAGAGAGAAAGAAGUCACUCUGUUGUAUAACUCAACAAUGAGAUUCAGAUAACUAUUAUACUGUCUAUAACUUUGCAUUAAAAAAUCCAAAACAUUCAUUUAUAGUAUAAACCAAAGAACAACUUUUAAGACAA